GUGGAUGUAGCUCAGUUGGUUAGAGCGCUAGUUUGUGGCACUGGAGGUCGGGGGUUCGAGACCCCUCAUUCACCC
rnacentral:tRNA from 1 species